UCGGAUUGUAGUCUGCAACCCGACUACAUGAAGCCGGAAUCGCUAGUAAUCGCGGAUCAGAAUGCCGCGGUGAAUACGUUCCCGGGUCUUGUACACACCGCCCGUCACACCAUGGGAGUCGGAAAUGCCCGAAGUCUGUGACCCAACCUGAGAGGGGAGGGAGCAGCCGAAGGCAGGUCUGAUGACUGGGGUGAAGUCGUAACAAGGUACC
rnacentral:rRNA from 1 species